AGCUUUGCACAGGGGCAGUAUUGUAACCAACGAGGUCUAGCCGAGGCACAAUUAUUGCUAAUUGAAAACUUUUCCCAGAAUGUACAACCCCAAGAAUGAAUGUUAAGGUAAACUAUGGGUUUGGGGUGAUUAUGAUGUGUCAAUGUAGGU
rnacentral:snRNA from 1 species